UCUCUCCCUCUCUCUCUCUCUCAACCCCAUGGACUUUUGGGGCAUGGCCUUUCAGGCUAUGGUUUUUCUCUCUCUCUCUCUCCAUGCUUAGAAUAAUGUGUUGAAAUGCUUCUUAAUGCUUUGAAACUUCAGCUUGAUGCCUUGUAUGUGAAACCGGUAAUUUUACCAAGUAAUUAAACACAAUUCUAGUUAGAAUUCCAAUCUCAUGACAACUAUUUCAUCUUAGUCAGCUAAACAACUCAUAAUUGUUGCAUAUGGUUCAACCAUAUUCUCUUGCAUGUUACUAUUUAUCUUAUGGAGUCAGAUCUACAUUAUAAUAGGCUAAUUCCAUGGUCUUUUUACAAGUUGAAUGUGAUGUAUAUAUAAUAAACUGUAUAUACACUAUUCAAAUAUGUCUGUCCACGACACUACAGCCUCUUCUACUUGGCUGUGGUGCCGUUCACCCUUCUCUCUUCCUGUAUGAAUUUCUGCUUCUCUGUGAAGCCAAAUACCAAUACUCCAGGUUUAAGGUGUUAUAUAACCUUUCUAUUAUUUAGUGGAUGGUGUGAACAAUCAUAAUCCAUUACAAACAAAUGAAAACACUCAGCUAGAUCGUUGGUGUUCAGACAGAGGAGAAGUUGUAGAGGUGUUUGGCUGAUGGAUAUUGGUCCUCAGCAUCUUCUAUUGACCGGUGUGUGAUACAAACUCUACUUUCAUUUAAAUCAAUCUAAAUGAUUGACUGUGUUUAAUCCCUGUCUGUCUCAUUGUUCAGGUACCAGUAAUGCUGUUAAGUUGCCCAUCAGUCACAUCAUGCUCUUUGUGGCACUGACCAUCAUGGCUACCAUAGUCACUAUUCACACAAGGAGGAACCGCCCACCCAAGGCUCUGCCCCCACAAGCAGAAGAAGCCUCUGGUAUUGAGAUUCAUGUCCUGGAGGAAUGACCCCCUGUUCCUCACUCUUCUCCCUGUGCUGGACUAACUGUCUGUAGCUUUAUUGAUUCAGUAACAGAGGACAUUAUACAUGUUUUUAAAGCUGAUGUUAAUCUAUUUUAGUGCAUAGUGUGGAAGAUGUAUUAAUUUGUAGUUGUGUUCUCUUAUUUUAGUAUCUUUUUAAAGACCUUUAUGUAGUAGGGAUUCAAAUAUCAGCAAACCUUGGUUGAUGUUUUACAUUUUUACUGUCCAUUGUGAAGGACGUCAGCAUGGAGAAAUUCCUUGGUUUUGUUUAAUUAAUAAGUUGUGUCCUAAGCAGACUUAAAAUGAGCACAAUGCUUCUUCUAAAAUGUAUAUUAAUUACGAAAACUGUUUUUAAAUAAACUAAUAAAAAUACAGUA